UACUGGAAUAAGAGUUCAGUACGGUCACUUACCCAGUCUUCACUUCAACAUGUCUGAGCACUUACAGCUGUAACUUGUGAUCUUUCUGGUUUAUUUGGAGGCACAGCAGGCCAGCUCCUGUACAGAGGAAUUCACAUUGAAGACGGCAUUCUUAUAUGCUUCCUAACAUGCUGCUGCUGCCUGGGUUAUUGAAAUCACAGGGAAGGUUGCAGUGCAAACAUCUAUGUACACAGAUUAAUUCACUUCAAAGUACAUUCAUUCAAGAAUUGUUCAAACAAUAAUUUAUGAAUUGAGCUUUUAUCUCGAGGAUCCGAGUAAUAAUACAGACACUUUCUAGCAACAGCAAUUGUUUUAGUGCAUAAUGUCUCAGAAAGAUUAUUUCUGAAGUAUAAAUUAUAAAUUUAACUUUAGACCUAGCCAUUUGGCAUUGAAAUUUAUGUCAUUAUUUUUACUGGCACUUUUCUACCAUGUUUGU
rnacentral:lncRNA from 1 species